AUGGCCUCCGCCGGCGUGGUCCACCGGGGCCUUGCCUCCGUGGUGCUGGCAGCAACCGGCAGGUCUUUCCCCGGGCACUUGGCGGGGCUCCUUCUUGCGGCAGUAUGGCUCGGCCCGCGGUGGUCUGGGUUGGCGGGGUGGUUCCUGCAGUCCUCGGGUGCCUUAGGGGCGGCGGCGCGGCCGUUGGCUACGGGAUGGCACGAUGGUGCGGGAGCUCGACCGAUGGCGCCCGCGAGGCCCAGAUCUGGGCCCUUUGGGCCCCAUCUGGUUCGGGGGUACUUCAUGAGCCCAUCUAGGCUGGACCGAGCCAGUAGGGGCCCGGUUUGUCCCGGUUAUCGUGUACAAUUGGUUUUUGCAUCGGCGGUGGAGGCCCCAUGUUGGUGGCCCCAGUUUGGCAACAAGGUUGAUUCAAGGCCGUGGUGGCGCAUGCUGGUGGAUGGCAGGAUUGGUGGAAAACUCGCAUUCUCCGGGGUGGUGGGGACUUUUGGGUCGGGAGAAAUCCCUAUUACCAUGGACGGAGAGUGGCUGCAGCACAAUAGUGGUGUGCACAAUGAGUUUGACCUCUUCAUGAAAAGCAAACACAAUCACCUAUUCCAGGACAACCAUAGUGAUGAGAUGGAUGGCCUGCUUGAAGCCACUACUGUCGUGGGCAACACUGAUGAUGCCAACGUUGUUGCUACAGACCACGGCAACAAUGAUGGAGAGACACAUAGUGAGCAGAGAAUGGCCACAAGGCGUGCCAUUUAUCACUGUCCGCGCAGUGAACAAAUCCAACAACUUGAAGCUGUGUUCCGCGACUGCCCUUAUCCAGAUGAGAAACUCCGGAAGGACCUUAGCGAGACGCUUGGCAUGAGUGCCCAGCAGGUCAAGUUUUGGUUCCAAAACAAACGCACCUUCAGUAAGGGCAAGAUGCAGCGAUGUGAGACCCAAAAUCGUUGGGUAGAAAAUGAGAGGCUGAAGACUGAACGUAAAGCCAUCAUGUUGGCUAUGCAAAACAAGACUUGCCUCAAAUGUAGAGGGGUGAUGGUACAAACUCAGGAUACCUCGGAGCGCCAACGCCUAUACACCGAGAAUAUGAGGCUCAAGGAAGAUAUCCUACAUGCCAUUGCCUAUCUUAAAGAAGGUCUUCGCCGAAAUGGCAUGUCGCUCCCAUGGGGCCGCUACUGA
rnacentral:rRNA from 1 species